rnacentral:rRNA from 1 species
UACGGAGGAUGCAAGCGUUAUCCGGAAUGAUUGGGCGUAAAGCGUCCGCAGGUGGCUAUGUAAGUCUGCUGUUAAAGAGUGAGGCUCAACCUCAUAAGAGCAGUGGAAACUACAUGGCUAGAGUGCGUUCGGGGCAGAGGGAAUUCCUGGUGUAGCGGUGAAAUGCGUAGAGAUCAGGAAGAACACCGGUGGCGAAAGCGCUCUGCUAGGCCGCAACUGACACUCAUGGACCGAAAGCUAGGGGGGAGCGAAUGGG